rnacentral:rRNA from 1 species
CAUAUCAAUAAGCGGAGGAAAAGAAACUAACAAGGAUUCCCCUAGUAACUGCGAGUGAAGCGGGAAAAGCUCAAAUUUAAAAUCUGGCGACCUUUGGCCGUCCGAGUUGUAAUCUAGAGAAGCGUUAUCCGCGCUGGACCGUGUACAAGUCUCCUGGAAUGGAGCGUCAUAGAGGGUGAGAAUCCCGUCUUUGACACGGACUGCCAGGGCUUUGUGAUACGCUCUCAAAGAGUCGAGUUGUUUGGGAAUGCAGCUCAAAAUGGGUGGUAAAUUCCAUCUAAAGCUAAAUAUUGGCGAGAGACCGAUAGCGAACAAGUACCGUGAGGGAAAGAUGAAAAGAACUUUGGAAAGAGAGUUAAACAGUACGUGAAAUUGCUGAAAGGGAAACGCUUGAAGUCAGUCGCGUCGUCUGGGAAUCAACCUUGCUUUUGCUGGGCGUACUUUCCAGACGACGGGCCAGCAUCAAUUUUGACCGUUGGAUAAAGGUGGGAGGAAUGUGGCAUCUUCGGAUGUGUUAUAGCCUCCCAUCGCAUACAACGGUUGGGAUUGAGGAACUCAGCACGCCGCAAGGCCGGGUACUUGUACCACGUUCGUGCUUAGGAUGCUGGCAUAAUGGCUUUAAUCGACCCGUCUUGAAACACGGACCAAGGAGUCUAACAUGCCUGCGAGUAUUUGGGUGGAAAACCCGAGUGCGUAAUGAAAGUGAAAGUUGAGAUCCCUGUCAUGGGGAGCAUCGACGCCCGGACCAGACCUUUUGUGACGGAUCUGCGGUAGAGCAUGUAUGUUGGGACCCGAAAGAUGGUGAACUAUGCCUGAAUAGGGUGAAGCCAGAGGAAACUCUGGUGGAGGCUCGUAGCGAUUCUGACGUGCAAAUCGAUCGUCAAAUUUGGGUAUAGGGGCGAAAGACUAAU